UACGGAGGAUCCAAGCGUUAUCCGGAAUCAUUGGGUUUAAAGGGUCCGUAGGCGGCUUUAUAAGUCAGUGGUGAAAUCCGGCAGCUCAACUGUCGAACUGCCAUUGAUACUGUAGGGCUUGAAUUAUUGUGAAGUAACUAGAAUAUGUAGUGUAGCGGUGAAAUGCUUAGAUAUUACAUGGAAUACCAAUUGCGAAGGCAGGUUACUAACAAUAUAUUGACGCUGAUGGACGAAAGCGUGGGGAGCGAACAGG
rnacentral:rRNA from 1 species